UACAGAGGUCCCAAGCGUUGUUCGGAUUCACUGGGCGUAAAGGGUGCGUAGGUGGUGAGGUAAGUCGGAUGUGAAAGCUCGGAGCUCAACUCCGAAAUUGCAUUGGAAACUACCUUGCUCGAGGGUUGGAGGGGGGACUGGAAUACUUGGUGUAGCAGUGAAAUGCGUAGAUAUCAAGUGGAACACCAGUGGCGAAGGCGAGUCCCUGGACAACUCCUGACACUGAGGCACGAAAGCUAGGGGGAGCAAACAGG
rnacentral:rRNA from 1 species